rnacentral:rRNA from 1 species
AACGCGAAGAACCUUACCUACUCUUGACAUCCACGGAAUUUGGCAGAGAUGCCUUAGUGCCUUCGGGAACCGUGAGACAGGUGCUGCAUGGCUGUCGUCAGCUCGUGUUGUGAAAUGUUGGGUUAAGUCCCGCAACGAGCGCAACCCUUAUCCUUUGUUGCCAGCGAUUCGGUCGGGAACUCAAAGGAGACUGCCAGUGAUAAACUGGAGGAAGGUGGGGAUGACGUCAAGUCAUCAUGGCCCUUACGAGUAGGGCUACACACGUGCUACAAUGGCAUAUACAAAGAGAAGCGACCUCGCGAGAGCAAGCGGACCUCAUAAAGUAUGUCGUAGUCCGGAUUGGAGUCUGCAACUUGACUCCAUGAAGUCGGAAUCGCUAGUAAUCGUGGAUCAGAAUGCCACGGUGAAUACGUUCCCGGGUCUUGUACACACCG